UACGUAGGGUGCAAGCGUUGUCCGGAAUUAUUGGGCGUAAAGAGCUCGUAGGCGGUUUGUUGCGUCGGCUGUGAAAUCCCGAGGCUCAACCUCGGGUCUGCAGUCGAUACGAGCAAACUAGAGUGUUGCAGGGGAGACUGGAAUUCCUGGUGUAGCGGUGAAAUGCGCAGAUAUCAGGAGGAACACCGGUGGCGAAGGCGGCGACCUGGGUUGACAUUGACGCUGAGGCGCGAAAGCGUGGGGAGCAAACAGG
rnacentral:rRNA from 1 species